CAUCAUGAUUCCUAGACACGACUCUACAUGCAUGCAUGAGACAGACUCUUCAAGUAUUAAAAGAUCAUAACAUCAUCAACAAAACAAAAUCAUAAAUUCGGACUCUUCCUAUUAUGCACGACAUCAAGACAAACACAUCAUCGUCAUUCACAUCAUCAUCAUAAGUCAACAUCGUCAUUCUCAUCAUCAAUGUAUAUUAGACACCAUCAUUCAAGUCAUCAUCAUAAUUAUACGUCGUCAUUCUCAUAGUCAAUAUAUAUAUNNN
rnacentral:lncRNA from 1 species